rnacentral:rRNA from 1 species
AUCAUUAUCGAAAUUAAGUGAGGGUUUGAUGCUGGCAGUCUUUGUGGCUGCAUGUGCUUGCUCUCUCUUUAAUCCACUUUCACAUGUGCACCCAAAUUUUUGUUUUUCGGAGGUGAGGCCUAGCCCUAGCCUUUGAAAGUCUAUAAACUCUUAUUUGAUGUAACUGAAUGUUUAUCUGCCGAAAGGCAAAAAUAAUUACAACUUUUAACAACGGAUCUCUUGGCUCUCGCAUCGAUGAAGAACGCAGCGAAAUGCGAUAAGUAAUGUGAAUUGCAGAAUUCAGUGAAUCAUCGAAUCUUUGAACGCACCUUGCACUCUCUGGUAUUCCGGAGAGUACGCCUGUUCGAGUGUCAUGAGACUCUCAAGCAGAGAUAGCUUUCUCUGUUUGGAAUUAGACUCUGCUGUGUAAAUGCGGCUAGUCUUAAAUGCAUUAGCUGGUCCCUUGUGCGGGAUUUUGGUUCUACUUGGCGUGAUAAUUAUCUAACGUUGAGGACAGUCUUUAGGGACUGGCCAGAGCCCCAUGUAUUUGGAUUGCUUCUAAUUAUUAUUGUCCUUGGACAAAAUAUAUUUUAAUGAUCUGACCUCGAAUCAGGUGGGAUUACCCGCUGAACUUAAGCAUAUCAAUAAGCGGAGGAAAAGAAACUAACAAGGAUUCCCCUAGUAACGGCGAGUGAAGCGGGAUGAGCUCAAAUUUAAAAUCUGGUAGCCUUGUGGCUGCCCGAGUUGUAAUCUAGAGAAGUGCUUUCUGUGCUGGACUGUGUACAAGUUUCCUGGAUACGGAACAUCAUAGAGGGUGAGAAUCCCGUGCUUGAUACAGACUACCAGUGCUUUGUGAUGCGCUCUCAACGAGUCGAGUUGUUUGGGAUUGCAGCUCAAAAUGGGAGGUAAAUUCCUUCUAAAGCUAAAUAUUGGCGAGAGACCGAUAGCGAACAAGUACCGUGAGGGAAAGAUGAAAAGCACUUUGGAAAGAGAGUUAAACAGUACGUGAAAUUGUUAAAAGGGAAACGAUUGAAGUCAGUCGCGUCUUACUUGGACUCAGCCUUGCCUUUUGGCUUGGUGCACUUCCUUGUAGACGGGCCAGUGUUCAUGUUGGUUGCUGGGAAAGGUGUAGGGGAAUGUGGCUCCUUUGGAGUGUUAUAUGCCCCUGCUCAUACACAGUGGCUGAUAUGGAGUGGUACAGCA